UGGUGGAGUGAUUUGUCUGGUUAAUUCCGUUAACGAACGAGACCUCGACCUGCUAAAUAGUUUGGCGAAUUUCACAUUCGUACUGACUUCUUAGAGGGACUAUCGGUUCUUAACCGAAGGAAGUUCGAGGCAAUAACA
rnacentral:rRNA from 1 species